rnacentral:tRNA from 1 species
GCGUCUAUAGCUCAGAAGGGUGAGAGCGCACAUUAGGCUUGUACUAAUGUGAGGUCGCUGGUUCGAGUCCAGCUAGGCAAA